UACGUAGGGCGCGAGCGUUGUCCGGAUUUAUUGGGCGUAAAGAGCUCGUAGGCGGCUUGUCGCGUCGAAUGUGAAAUUUCAGGGCUCAACUCUGACAUUGCAUUCGAUACGGGCAGGCUAGAGUUCGGUAGGGGAGACUGGAAUUCCUGGUGUAGCGGUGAAAUGCGCAGAUAUCAGGAGGAACACCGGUGGCGAAGGCGGGUCUCUGGGCCGAUACUGACGCUGAGGAGCGAAAGCGUGGGGAGCGAACAGG
rnacentral:rRNA from 1 species